rnacentral:lncRNA from 1 species
CUGCCAAUUGAUAUUUUAUCGUGUGUUUUUCUAUGUUGUGAUGUUAUGCUAUUGUUUCAGAAAAAGGGAGAAGGUCCGCUGCAAAUGUUUGCACCUGUCCUAAGUCAGGAAUCUGAUGUACAGUAGUUGCCGUUUGUUUAUGUAAUAUAUACGUGUUUCUCGUGUUUUUUUUAUAUAGAUUAUAUAUAGACCGUUGGUUUUCCCGUUUGAAUGGUUUUACACUAG